UACGUAGGGGCCUAGCGUUGUCCGGAUUUAUUGGGCGUAAAGAGCUCGUAGGCGGUUUGGUAAGUCGGGUGUGAAAUCUCCACGCUCAACGUGGAGGGGCCACCCGAUACUGCCAUGACUGGAGUCCGGUAGGGGAGUGUGGAAUUCCCGGUGUAGCGGUGGAAUGCGUAGAUAUCGGGAGGAACACCAGUGGCGAAGGCGGUUGCCUGGAGCUUUGCUGACGCUGAGGCGCGAAAGCGUGGGGGGCGAUCCGG
rnacentral:rRNA from 1 species